UAAAUUGACACGGCAAAGUAUUUAUUUUGUUAACCACUUCACUGGCCGACAUUUCAAUAAAUUCUCCGUUCCGUUCGAGUUUCCGUUAGAGCUGUGACCGGUCGAUCGAUCUUGUCGAUGCCAUAUUGAAAAUUUUCGAUAGAUCGAUAAUACCGUUGCAGGAUAUCGUUAAUGGAUGCAAGUGACCUUUCUAUUUCUCUUUUCUCCUUCUUAUUUAAAGUUAUUAUUAAAACGUAAAAAUAUUAUUUGCAGAAAGAACUCUAACCAGUUUCACCUGCUCGAUAUUAUCGACACAUCGAAUUAUCGACAACGCAACAAUAGUAUCGAUAUAAAUACGUAUACAUCGUUAAUGAUUGCGACUGGACAAGGGAAUAAUUAAACGAAAUUUAAAUCCAACGUAAACGAUUCGACAUAACCUAUUACCACGUUCGUCCACGAAAGAAUACCAACCGAAACGAAACAAAGAAUAAUGGACCCCCGUAACCAGUUCCUUGACGUCCGCGUCGGACGUUCUUCGCAACAGAUUGAUCAACGCCGGCACACCGCCCGCGUUCUUGAUGGCCCUCUUGUUCUCAUCGUUCUGCCUCCCGUACGACAAGUUCCUCAACGCGCCGCACGCGUUCCUGUACACGUCAGGAUUGUCGUGAUCGAGCAACUGCACCAAGGGCGGUAUACCACCUAAACUUCUCGUCUUCUGCUUGUUGGGAUCGUCCAUGUAGCACAGAUGUUGCAGGUAGGCGGCCGCGUUCGCCUUGAUGAUGUUGUUCGGGUUGCUGAGGAAGCCUAUCACCUCCGACAGAUUCGGGUCCCGCCAUCUCAUCGACUUCUGGUCGUCGUCCAACGGGCUUGCCAUCCCGGGAACCACCGGGUGCCGGGAUUGCAGCCGUUGUAGGUGCACCUCGUCGUCGAACAUGCCAGGUGGCACGCCCGUGGGCAGCGGGACCGGGUGGCCCUCGUCGUAGCCGGGCACGUCGCUGGGAACUGCGACCGGGCCUACCCCGACGCCAGGGCCGUAUCCGACCGGCCCGUAUGGGGACGGAGACACGUAACCCAAUGGUUGGCAAAUGAUGGAGCACGAUAAGGUGUUUGGAUCAAGGCAAAUGGAUCAAACGCAACAGUGAUGAGAAAAGAAGGGGAGGCAGAGAUAGAGAGAGAGAGAAAGAGAGAACGUGUUAAAUAAAUUAUUGAUGUGACCCUACCAUGAGGAUGCUGAGAGGGUUCGCCGGAGUCAUCCAUAUUCCAAGAGUUGCUGAUUUGAUCUAGAGAGAACACAAAAUAACAAACGAAUGUCAGGCAUAGAGAUAAUUAAAGUGAAUUAUGCUCGUUGCGCCCUCCUGUGUGCACAGACACCGGACAGACAGAGAUUCCAACCCCCAUGCUGCAACACGAUGAUAGCUGAAUAUCUCGUUAUGGAGCUGUCUAGGUGAACGUGGCUACGCUGCCUUCGUGUGAAUUUGAACGGACCACCAGGACUAGGAGUAAUACGAUAAUGAUCUUGCAACGCGGGAUUCAAACCUGGAUCGAUGUCGUUGUAACCUCCUUCCACGUACGGCGCCGCCUUGCGCAGAGAUAAUUUUCGUCCCAAGGUGAUAAGAUGGCGUCAUGGAGGAUAUAAAAAAAAAAAAUAAACGUCUUACCAUGCGGAGGCGAGGCACGACUGUGCUCCGAGGGACUGUGAGGGCUGUGAGGGGAAUGCGAGCGUGGCAUGUAGAUUCCAUGAGGUCCUGGAUACCCUGGUUGGGGCGGGUAGCCGAGGUAGGGCUCGUAAUGCUCGAAACCGACCAUGUACGAGUCGGCCGGGUAUCGUCGGUCCGCGUGUUGAUAGUCCUGGGACAUCAACGGCACCGACAUGUAGCUCACCGCGCCCGGAUCCGGCUCCAUGUGUGAUACCUCGCGCACGACCUUCGACACGUUUGUUACCUGAAAUUAGUUUUUGCGAUCAGGUCGAGGAGAAUGGAAAGAUACCGGGCGAUAGUUUUGGUUAUUCUUCCGAGAGAAUAGAGAUUGAGAAGAUUUUGAAAAUAUUGGGAACAAUUUGGUGGAAUAUUUUGGAAUAUCGCCGUUCCUGAUGAACGGUACGAGGCGGGAACAAUCGUUAAGAGUAAAAGGAAAUCACGGCAGGGCAAAUUAGAGCGUAGGUAAAACUGGAAACGGAUCUCACUUGUUGAGUAGUUUGCUGCUUAUGGCUCCGGAUGAGUAAUGGAUCCUCCUGGACAGAUAAAUGAGACGAAUGCAACGAAUGGGUAUCCGCCUGGCCGUUACUUCCGUGGUAAUCUGCAUCACUCUGUCCGCUGCAAAAUGAUCCGCAAUAAUGAUCAAUUAGAGAUAUGCUCGUCCCAUCCGGCCAACAAUCGCCGAUUUAUUCGCUUAAGAUUCGAUAGCUUACGUGUAUUGCGGCAUGUCGGGGCCCUUCUCCUGGAGAACGCGUCUGGAAAAGAAAUACACAUGGAACGAAUCACUAUUUGCCCCGAUUUGUUACGGUCCGCGUGCCAUCAAAACGAAUAUUGAACAGCUAAAAUAAUUUCGGUGGAUAAUUUUGGAAAAGAAUGAAAUAUAUAAAAUAAGACGAGAUAAAAAAGAAAUAAAUAAAUAAAUAAAGCGCACACCGAGCUGAAAAAGUAAUACAAAGUAACGAAAAAGUAAAAGGAACCAAGAACAAAGCGAAGCAUUCAGAUACGAAUCUAACUACGUUAAACUACCUCGUAUCCUCGUCACACAUCACUCUCAACCAUGCUAAAUAAUAAACGCGAAACGAACACGAAUGUUAGUGCGGCCGAAGUUACUCAUUCUGACGACUCUUUUCGAUGAUCCACCUUUGAAAAUUGCUUGCAACGCCUCGCGAGAUCUCGAUGGACGGGAUAUCUGUAUCGAAUCUACAGGGUAUGUACGUUUUGACAGUAUUCAAGUAUUUUUUAUUUAUUUAUUUAUUUUAUUUCCAAUAAACUGACAAAGAAAGAUCCUUUAAAGAAAAUCGAGUUAAAAUCAUUUGAGAAUUAUGUAAAGACGAUGAAGAAGAUAAAAAAAAAUAUGAUGGAUAUUGUUAAAGCGUACACCCUAUAGAGCACUUGGUAUAUUCGUACUUGAAGGAGGCAUAAAUCGUUCUUGUCUCGACGUUAAACGCCCCAUCGAGAAUCUCGACGAAUUCCGAAUUUCCGAUUCGAAGCUUCGCUUUUUCCAAAGGAAAAAUAAUACACGAACAAUGUAGAUCCAACGAUGAAUAAUAAUAGAUCUGUUAAUCGGUCGCGCUCGCGCGCUCAGAAUGACUAACCUCGUCGAUUAGGUCAUGUUAGUCACCUCUGCGUGAUCUCAGUGUGCGUUAUGCUGUGCUCCUGUCUCUCGACGAUUCGACGAUUCACCAGCCUGGCAUUAAUAAUUUCGCUCUGAUUAAUAUACGGGUGCCGGGGCUACGUGCAUCCUAAGCCAUUACCGAGAAAACGAGUUUCGCCAAUUGGUCGACGUUACGUUUUUUGCAAUAGCCGUAAAAUAGAGAGAGAGAGAGAUAGAGAGAGAGAGAAAGAGAGGGGAAAGCGGAGUUCACCGAUGAUUCCCCUCGGUUGGAGAAGGAAGGAAAGAGUAAUAGAGCGAAAGACAGAAAGAGAACGUAUUAAUCGUUUACGAGACUCUCCUCGACAGAGAACUCGAGUAGAGAAAGACACUUACAGACAGGAGUCAACCAGCUGAUUAUUUGACAUACCAGCUGAUUUUUCGUCUCUUGCCGCUCAGCAGUCGAUGACGUCCCCUGGAAUCAUAUUAAAACGACAAUUCUUGAGAAGAUUAUCGAGAGAGAAACUUUUGAAAAAUAAAUCGAGAGGAUAUUCGUGCGAUACACAGCUCGGCUCUGACGAAUCAACCGUCAACUGUUUACGACUACUCGAGCCUGUUAACGACCAUCGUAUCGAUCGGUACAUUAGCGGAGGAGCUCUAAUUAGCAAGGCAUACGCACUUGAUACUUCUUUCGUGAGGACAAGUUGAGAGAAGUUUAUUAUCCAUCCGGUUGAAAAAAACUUUUCACGAUCUUGAUCGGGCAUUGUUGUCAACGAGAGGAAACUUUUUCUAAAGAAGUUUGACGAAGGAUUCUUGAAUGAAAACAAGUAAAUAAAAUAUAUAUAUAUAUAUAUAUAUAUAUAUCGAUGACUAAAGUUCGUUAGAACGAUCCGAUCGAUUUAAUCUCUUUUUUUUUCUCUCUCUCUUUUUUUAAAUUUAUUUCCUUUUUUCACUUAUCCUUAAUUAAUUUUAUCACUUCAACGUAAAGCGCGUGCAGUUAACAGGUGAAGCGAAGGUAUCACGCGAGCGCCGCGCGUAAUCGCGGCAUUAAAAUAUAAAACGAGCAGAAGAGUUUAAUUAAUUUGUCGCCUCGCCACCCUUUUGUCGCGUGUUGCGAUUGGCUGUUACUCGGUAUGCGUUAUACGCAUAUACAUACAUACAUACAUACAUACAUAUAUAUAUACGAGGAAAGUUUCGCUAACGAAUUCACCUAACGCAACUACGACCUCAGAAUUUCGUCAGAGGGCGUACUAAAAGGAUUCCAGCCAGUUCGACCGGUGUCGUCGGCCAAUUCUAUUCGACUAACGAACUUCGUUUCCACGUUUAUUGUUCUUUUUUCUCCACCCACGACGUAAUCGCCUAGGGGUCUCUACCUUUCGAAAAUGAAUUAUCGAAACUCGAAUGCCGGGACGAAAAAUAUCGAUGCUAAUAUUCAGGGAAAAUUCUUUUAUAGAAAUUCCAAGAAGAUGAAUCAUUAUGUAAAUAUAUAUGACAUCGCGAGAACAUUUUGAACAUAAAUAUAUGGUGUGCAAAUUCUCAGAAAUUUCCUCCCGAUUGUAUUUAAUUGAGGGUUAGACUUUCAUCGGUCCAAGUUGGCGCAACUUUGCUCCGGUUAAUUAAAGAAGACUACUGUUUAAUAACCGGUUGUCAACCGGGUGGACGCCAAUUUGGCCCACUUUUCACCGACUCCCCGCGAAUAAUAUUCCUCGUCCUUCGAGCAUCGAGGAAUAGAGCCGUGAAAGGAGGGAACAUUGUUCCCAGUUAUUAAGGUAUUAGGCGGUGGCACGUGGUCGGAAAUUCAACGGAGAGGAGAUAAAAAGAUCGUGACAACGGCAAAUACUGCCGUUCGCGAGGAUAAGAUGAAACGGGGGAAUUUGUUUAAGGCCCUCUCCCUCCUCCUCCUCCCUUUUCGACCUGGAUUCGAGUCGCAAGGAAAUACAUGUGGUACGUCCCUCCCUGUUUUCAAUUAAUAUUAAACGGUCGAUUUAAUGAGAUACAAUAAAUGAAUAUUCUCGUAAUGGAAAUACUCAAAAUCCGGCAACCAGAUGCACUUUAUUACGAUAUAAUCUUUUUGCAAGGUCGCAUUGCAAGUUAACAAAUUCUCUCAGAUUCUUGUCCGAUAUUCAAAUCAAUUGUGCUUUAAUUUAAAUUGGAAAUUUUGAAUUCAACGAGGACAAAAUUCUUAUUCUCUCUUUUUCGGUCACAUUUCCUGAUAAAUUAGAGGCUGGAAAGAAAGAGGGAAAUCCUUCAAAAUUUUCUCUCUCCCGUUUUUUCGCCCUUCUUCCCCGCCCAUCCUCACGUUGCAUCCGAGAAAUCGAUUCACCGCGCAAGAUGCGCUCCCCUGCAGGAUCCCACGGGAGGAUCUUCGGAUCGUGGAGGGAAGAAGCUUCGGGUAAUUAAGAGGCUAAUUGCCGCGCGCGGGUAACGAAGUGCGCGAUUUCCGCUCCCCGAGACCGCGGCAGAGAAUCGCCCAUUCGACCGAAAUUGCAUCCUGUUAACGAGCCCUUUCUUUCUCUCUCCUUCUUUUUUUUUUUUUUUGAUCCUUGAAUAAAAUUCCAUCCUGGCGAUUGUUUAUCCUUUUCUUCCGUUCCUUUUUUUUUUACUCUUGCGUGUGUGUAAAUAAGGGUUUGUUCGAAGGAAAUUAGUUAGCGGAGAUCGUGUUAGUUGUAAUAAUAUAGGAUUCGUAAAGAAAGGCGAAGAAUAGAAUCUAAUUUAAAUAUUUCGUUUAAGCAGAAUUAUUACGAUGGUGUAUAAUUGUGAGCUCGUAAUUAUGAGAUUUAUAAUUAUUUGAAUUAUUGAUCGAGGAAAUAAUAAUAGAAUCUCGGAUCGUAAUAAGAUAAUUUUGUUAUACUAUGAUAAUAUAUAUAUAUAUAUAUAUUUUUUUUUUAUACAUAUAUAAUAAUAAAAAGCUACGAUUUUUUU